rnacentral:lncRNA from 1 species
UUAAAUUUUCCCAUUGAACCACUUGGAAUACUAAGGAUAUGCGGGUACCUUACCAUUGCCAUGACUUGUCAUGGUCUUACGUGGUAUCCUUUUGAAACUUACCAUUGCCAUGUCUUGACAUGGUCUUACAUGGUAUCCUUGCCUUAUGAACUCACCAAUGCCAUGCCUUGGCAUGGUCUUACAUGGGACCUUUGCCUUAUAGUAACUUAUCAAUGCCAUGUCUUGACAUGGUCUUGCAUGAUUUCCUUGCCUUAGAAACCUUACCAAUUGCCAUGCCUUGGCAUGGUCUUAC